CUGGCCUUUAGGUUUCUCGUUUGAAUUGUUUAACGUUUUGUCAUUUCUGUGACUUUUAUAUCUUACUUUACAAUGGUUUCCUCGAUGUUGAAGGUAAUACCGUGAUCUUCAGUUGCUUAUAUUACGUCUUUACUCUCUGGUGCAUUGUUUUCUCAUUGGUAAUCAUAUCGCUCCCUUAUUUUCAUAAUGAUGUGGUGUACCUUUCUCUGUGUUGAUUUUAAUUGUGCGUUUUGUCUCUGUAUUGAAUAUCAAGCUAGUUUUUUUCAAAUAUUAGAAGCCAGGGCUGAGUACACAAAAACCUUGUUCUUUUUGUGUACAUUUCCGAAAUCAGCAACCUCGUUUAUGGUUACGUUAAUGUUUUGUUUCUGUUCAGAAGUUGCCGUUCAGGGCAGAGAUUUGGUAGUUACUGUUAAAUUUAUACGUUUUCCUAUAACUUAAGACAUUGGUCAUGCUAUUGAUGAUCUUUGGUAAAGCUUUUUGUUCUGUUU
rnacentral:lncRNA from 1 species